UUCGUGAAGCCUUAGACCUCGACGCUUCAGAUUCUACAGUUCGCCGUCGACUGAAGGAUGCAGGGUUUCGCAGUUGCGUGGCAGCACGGAAACCAUUACUGACAGCGGCGAACAAGAACGCAAGGCUGCAGUUUGCUUUGCAGCUUGCUCCAUGGACAAGCGAGGACUGGAGUCACGUCAUCUUUUCUGAUGAGUCUACCUUUUCCACGCGACAGGACCAGAGGGCGCGUGUUUGGCGACUCUCAGGCACCCGGUAAGGCUGAUUUACUUGCACGUUUGUUCAUGAUCUACCAGGUAAAUUUUCACAAGACAUUGUGUUACAGAUACGAUGCUGAAAACGUGCGAAGUGUGUUGUCCAGUGGAAGAACAAGCGUGAAUGUAUGGGGCUUCAUAUCCCGACAUGGCCUGGGCCCAUUGCAACGUAUCCACGGCACUUUGACCUCGGCGAAGCACCCGUUCACACGGGCAGGAUUGUGAAACAAUAUAU
rnacentral:lncRNA from 1 species